UGAGGAAUUUUCUGCAAUGGGCGAAAGCCUGACAGAGCAAUACCGCGUGAGGGACGAAUGCCUACGGGUUGUAAACCUCUUUUGUCAAGGAGGAAGUUCUGACGUGUACUUGACGAAUAAGCAUCGGCUAACUCCGUGCCAGCAGCCGCGGUAAUACGGAGGAUGCAAGUGUUAUCCGGAAUCACUGGGCGUAAAGCGUCUGUAGGUGGUUUGCUAAGUCCGCUGUUAAAGCUUGAAGCUCAACUUCGAAAAUGCAGUGGAAACUAGUAGACUUGAGUGUGGUAGGGGUAGAGGGAAUUUCCAGUGAAGUGGUGAAAUGCGUAGAUAUUGGAAAGACCACCAAUGGCGAAGGCACUCUACUGGGCCACAACUGACACUGAGAGACGAAAGCUAGGGGAGCAAAUGG
rnacentral:rRNA from 1 species